rnacentral:rRNA from 1 species
CCUACGGGUGGCAGCAGUGGGGAAUAUUGGGCAAUGGGCGCAAGCCUGACCCAGCAACGCCGCGUGAAGGAAGAAGGCUUUCGGGUUGUAAACUUCUUUUCUCAGGGACGAAGAAAGUGACGGUACCUGAGGAAUAAGCCACGGCUAACUACGUGCCAGCAGCCGCGGUAAUACGUAGGUGGCCAGAGUUAUCCGGAUUUAUUGGGUGUAAAGGGCGUGUAGGCGGGAGCGCAAGUCAGAUGUGAAAACUCAGGGCUCAACCCUGAGCCUGCAUUUGAAACUGUGUUUCUUGAGUGAUGGAGAGGCAGGCGGAAUUCCGUGUGUAGCGGUGAAAUGCGUAGAUAUACGGAGGAACACCAGUGGCGAAGGCGGCCUGCUGGACAUUAACUGACGCUGAGGCGCGAAAGCGUGGGGAGCAAACAGGAUUAGAUACCCGGGUAGUC